AUUGAACGCUGGCGGCAGGCCUAACACAUGCAAGUCGAACGGUAACAGGAAACAGCUUGCUGUUUCGCUGACGAGUGGCGGACGGGUGAGUAAUGUCUGGGAAACUGCCUGAUGGAGGGGGAUAACUACUGGAAACGGUAGCUAAUACCGCAUAACGUCGCAAGACCAAAGAGGGGGACCUUCGGGCCCCUUGCCAUCGGAUGUGCCCAGAUGGGAUUAGCUAGUAGGUGGGGUAACGGCUCACCUAGGCGACGAUCCCUAGCUGGUCUGAGAGGAUGACCAGCCACACUGAAACUGAGACACGGUCCAGACUCCUACGGGAGGCAGCAGUGGGGAAUAUUGCACAAAGGGCGCAAGCCUGAUGCAGCCAUGCCGCGUGUAUGAAGAAGGCCUUCGGGUUGUAAAGUACUUUCAGCGGGGAGGAAGGGAGUAAAGUUAAUACCUUUACUCAUUGACGUUACCCGCAGAAGAAGCACCGGCUAACUCCGUG
rnacentral:rRNA from 1 species